AACGAACGCUGGCGGCAGGCCUAACACAUGCAAGUCGAACGAGAAGCCACCUUCGGGUGGUGGAAAGUGGCAGACGGGUGAGUAACGCGUGGGAACGUGCCUUUCGGUUCGGGAUAACCCAGGGAAACUUGGGCUAAUACCGGAUACGCCCUCCGGGGGAAAGAUUCAUUGCCGAAAGAUCGGCCCGCGUCGGAUUAGCUAGUUGGUAGGGUAAUGGCCUACCAAGGCGACGAUCCGUAGCUGGUCUGAGAGGAUGACCAGCCACACUGGGACUGAGACACGGCCCAGACUCCCACGGGAGGCAGCAGUGGGGAAUAUUGGACAAUGGGCGAAAGCCUGAUCCAGCCAUGCCGCGUGGGUGAAGAAGGCCUUAGGGUUGUAAACCCCUUUCAGCGGGGAAGAUAAUGACGGUACCCGCAGAAGAAGUCCCGGCUAACUCCGUGCCAGCCGCCGCCGUAA
rnacentral:rRNA from 1 species